AUGGGGCGUAACAAGGUAAUCGAUGACACUGAUCUCCAGGAAAUAUUAGCCAUACGUGAUGAAUUUGGAGUCUUGCAAAAGGACAACGGUCAGUUACAGACUCAGGUGUCAAAGCUUCAUACGGAGGUGCAAGAAAUUGGGUCUAAGCAGAGAGAGAUCUCUGCCACUGUAGGCGAUGUGGAACGAGUGGUGCUGGACUUGGGUAAACAGUUGUCAGUAAUCAGUAAUGUCCUGCAAACUCUGGUGAAAACAACUCAAUCUACACAACAAGCAGAUCGUCCUUCUAGUUCUCAAGAAGUACCCAAAUCCCCUACACUGAAUCAAGAUCACUCUCAAGAACAAGAGGCAAGAUUGGAGCAGUUACGAAAACAACUAGCAGCAGAGAAAGAAAAGUCUAAACAAUUAGAAGAACUCCAGCUUCAGAAUCUGCCACCAAUCAGAGUGAAUAGAGCAGAGGGUCCUCCUGGAUUUGCAAACCAAGGAAGACAGGAACAACAUAGUACAGUGGUCACCCCUACAGCAGCAAGACAACAAGUUCAUACUCCUGCAUUCAACCAGUUCUAUCAGCAGAACAGAGAAAGACAAAUGUGGCAGGGUUAUCACAGAAAUUAUGAACAAGACAUGCAAGCCCAGUUCAUGAGAGCAUUAACAAAAGGUCCUAAAAUGGAGUUUCCCAAAUUUUCAGGAGAAGAUCCAGUGGGAUGGAUCAGACAAGGCAACAAAUACUUCCAGAUGGCUGCUGCUCCAGAAGAGUAUAAAGUGUCAUUAGCUCAACUAUAUAUAGUGGAUGAGGCUGAUGUAUGGUUGAGAAGAUCUGGGCUGCUCAAGAAACAACUCUCAUGGAAACAAUUUGGGGCAGAAAUAGUUAAGAGGUUCUCAGAACAAGGAUCAUAUGAUCUUACAGAAAAAUUCACUUCCUUGAAACAAGCAAACAACACAGUUGUUGCAUAUACAAAGCAAUUUGAGGAUCUGAUGGCAGAAGUUCUGGAAGAAAAUCCUGAACUAGGAGAAACCUGGUUCAUAAGGUGCUAUGUCAAUGGUCUCAGAGAUGGAAUUAAAUUCCAGCUGAGACCACUGAGACCACAGUCCUUAACUGAUGCCUACUGUCUAGCAAAAGAAGUAGAACCCAAUCAUCCACCUAUCAGUGCUAUGCCCAAGAAAAAUACCAGUACCUUUGUCAAUUAUUAUCAGAAGAACACUGGUGCCUUUCAGAACAAAACUAACAACAACACUGUUCCUGUGCAACAAAAUACUCCAGCAAAGCAAGUAGAACACAACACAAACACUUUCACAAAACCGAGGAAAGUGGGAGAAUGCUGGAGAUGUAGGGACAAAUGGGUACAUGGUCAUAAGUGCAAGUUAAUCCCAAAUGUUCACUUGUUGCAAACAGAUAGUGUAGAGCAAGAAACCUUGGAAGAGGAAGUGUUACAUCAAGAGCAAGAAGAAAUUCCUGAAGAAGGGGAUUAG
rnacentral:rRNA from 1 species